GACGAACGCUGGCGGCGUGCUUAACACAUGCAAGUCGAAGAUAGUGGCGACCGGGUGAGUUAUCCGUGGGUACCCUGGUCUUCUUUUUGAGAUACGCCUUGGAAACGGGGUCUAGUACCGAAGAAAGGGGGACGGGUUCGAGGCCUAUGAGGGUGUUGGUGGGGUCAUGGCCUACCAAGGCGGUGCCGGGUGGCCGGCCUGAGAGGGGGACCGGCCACAUUGGGAGGGAGAUACGGGCCAGGCUGCUACGGGGGGCAGCACUGGGGGAGAGGGCACAAUGGGCGAAGGGCUGAUGCAGCGCCGCCGAGGGGGGGGUGAGGGCUGUCGGGUUGUAAGCCUCUUGCGCUAUCGAAGGGGUAGGUGGAGAAGAAGCACCGGCUAACUACGUGCCAGCAGCCGCGGUAAUAC
rnacentral:rRNA from 1 species